CCUGGGGAAUCAUUCACAGGGGCAGGAAGGAGACACUCAUGAUCCCAUAGUUUCUAGCCAUUAGGGAGAUGAUAUUCUUCUAUAGUAUAGUGUGUCAGAAUAUUUUACCUCUUUGUGACCCAAGCAGGGACCUCUUACGAUAUGAUGAGGUUUGACAUCCCUCAUAGCUGAGCUUCUAUGUGAAAAAGCCUGUACUUGGGCAGGAGAGUGAACACAGGCAAAGAAGAAAACAGGAUACAUGGCCAGACAUUCUAUGUAGGGCUUUUCUUCACUGCUCAAUGGGAAAAUGAGUGAAUGACAGUGUGUUAGAAAUUGAGAAGAAGCUUCAUACAUUCAAAGAUGCUGCUCCUGACCUCUUGUUCAGCAAAGAGAGAAAAUAAAGCAACAUCUACAAAACUUCUGUGCUUGGAAGCAACACAAGUUCUCUUGGACACCUGAAAGGUUCUUUCCCUCCCAUUCUUCCUAAACAGGCUACAGAACUAUGAAGAUCAGCAUGAAAUUUUGUCUCAGCAAAGAGUAGAAAAUAAUAACUUGUGUCUUGUCAAGCCAUUCUCCUGUCUCCUUUGACAGCUCAGCCUUUGGUGGCUGCAGUGAGUUGGACACUUGGCUGUGUCAUAAGCCUUUUGGAUCAGCCCAUCAGGAGGAAAGGAACACAGACUUGGAAGAGUCCCCUGUCUUCUUCUGAAAGUAUCUGGGCAUUUUAACCUGUCUUUGAGUACCAUUUUGCAGUCAGAUGAAGAGCUCUUGCUCUUCCUCUUUGUAAUAAGAGAGAGAUUAAGUCUGA